GGCUGCAACGCCUUUUCAUUGUAUAUUCCUCGAGAAAACAACUGGUUAGUGUCGCAUAUGUAAAACCUCUCCAGCAUGCUAUCACUGAAUACCGAGUGAUUGAAUUUUCACCACUUGGUAUGCUUCAUCGUCCCUCAAUGAACAGGGACUACAUAGAGUGAUGGCUUGUCAUAGGUGAAGAACCUGUGAUGGCUCAAUGAACAGGGACUACACCGUCCUCUUUCCUUUGGUGUCUCAAGGAGUCUUGGUAUCUUCUCUCAGUUUCUGUUGCAGUGAAUUCAAGUCCCAUCUCAGAAUUAUAGUUGGAGCAAUCAAAUUUCUUUUCAAUUUCCUAGUUCACAGAAAUGCGAAAUGAUGGUUAUUAGAAGUAUCAGAGUCAAAAUUCCUCUGGAAAUCAGCACAGAAGAAAGUCGUAGAAUCAUUACAGAUUCUGUCAAGAGAUUGAAUUUAUAACUUAGCUCUUGAGGAGGUGUGUGACGUGUGUCUCGUAUCUUAGCUCGAAAGUUGGGAGCAUAACAGAAGCUCCUGAUGGCCUUAG